AUUCUGCCCAUGCGGGGAAGGAUGAGAAGCUUCGACUAAGGUUCGGCUCGAGCGUCAGCGAGAGAGCGUUGCCGCAGGCAACGACCCGA
rnacentral:sRNA from 1 species